AUGUCCCAGGCGAUGGUGCUAAAUACGUUAUCUUCUUCUUCUGCACAUUAACUUCCGUCACA
rnacentral:sRNA from 1 species